rnacentral:rRNA from 1 species
GUGCCAGCCGCCGCGGUAAUACAGAGGUCUCGAGCGUUGUUCGGAUUCAUUGGGCGUAAAGGGUGCGUAGGUGGCGCUGUAAGUCGGGUGUGAAAUCCUGAGGCUUAACCUCGGAACUGCAUUCGAUACUGCGGCGCUUGAGGACUGGAGAGGAGACUGGAAUUCAUGGUGUAGCAGUGAAAUGCGUAGAGAUCAUGAGGAAGACCAGUGGCGAAGGCGGGUCUCUGGACAGUUCCUGACACUGAGGCACGAAGGCCAGGGGAGCAAACGGGAUUAGAAACCCCCGUAGUCC